UAAGAUGCAAGCAUUGGCUUUUGCCUACCAAAAUCUCCUGUGUUGAAGUCCUGACAAUGUAUCACCAAAAGUGAAGUAACUGAUAAUGGAGGAACAGGAAAAAUAUGCCUUCUCUUGCAGAGAUAACUUGAAAUGCUGAGAAGGAGUGAUCUGGUUUCAACUAAGAGUGUGGGGAAGAGCUUGAGUGAACAGCUGCGUG